GAUAUAAUUAUAGCGCCCGUACAAUUUAGGCAAACAAAGCACUGAUUUAUAACUUAUAACAGAAGUGAUAAUAGCUUUUAAGCUGAUAUUGUAGACGAGGAAGACAGUGAUCGGAUUAUCGGCGGAUGCUGUCUCGGAUGAGGUCGUUCGUAAGUUUGCAGAGCAAAACACUGGGGCAACUCGGUGCACAAAGUUUGUAAACAGACCAAAG
rnacentral:ncRNA from 2 species